rnacentral:rRNA from 1 species
GACAGAGGAUGCAAACGUUGCUCGGAAUUACUGGGCGUAAAGCGCGUGUAGGCGGCUUGGUAAGUCGGACGUGAAAUCCCGGGGCUCAACCCCGGAAGGGCGCUCGAUACUGCCGAACUUUGGGUCCUGAAGAGGAGAGCGGAAUUCCCGGUGUAGAGGUGAAAUUCGUAGAUAUCGGGAGGAACACCAGUGGCGAAGGCGACUG